CCUACGGGUGGCAGCAGUGAGCAAUAUUGGUCAAUGGGCGCGAGCCUGAACCAGCCAAGUCGCGUGAGGGAAGACGGUCCUAUGGAUUGUAAACCUCUUUUGUCGGGGAGCAAAAGACGCCACGCGUGGCGUUCCGAGAGUACCCUACGAACAAGCAUCGGCUAACUCCGUGCCAGCAGCCGCGGUAAUACGGAGGAUGCGAGCGUUAUCCGGAUUUAUUGGGUUAAAAGGGUGCGCAGGCGGAAGAUCAAGUCAGCGGGAAAAUUGAGAGGCUCAACCUCUUCGAGCCGUUGAAACUGGUUGUCUUGAGUGAGCGAGAAGUAGGCGGAAUGCGUGGUGUAGCGGUGAAAUGCAUAGAUAUCACGCAGAACUCCGAUUGCGAAGGCAGCAUACCGGCGCUAAACUGACGCUCAUGCACGAAAGUGUGGGUAUCGAACAGGAUUAGAUACCCCUGUAGUC
rnacentral:rRNA from 1 species